GAAAUGAGAGGCUACACUCAACAGGUUUGGCUUCACUCGGUGCCAAAACGAGCGAAACCAAUGUCCAUUCGAACCAAUCUCACCUUCGGGGACAGUGCCGUGUCGACAUCCUUUUGAAGUGGCUUACCUGCAUUAUCACGUUCAAGGAACUGCUAUACAGGUCAUUCUUCGUAAGGUUAUCGAAGCGCUGUGGGAACUGUACGAAACCGAUCUCAUCUCCAUUCUCUUCAUCCAUGAAGAAGCACAGUGCGUCUCUUAACGAAUCCGAGUUGUUCGAGUACAUGUCGCAGUCCACGUUAAGGAUGACAGGCGAGUUGCUGAUCCUCGACGAGACCCUAAUCUAUUUCAUCCAGAAA